GCCUACGGGGGGCAGCAGUCGGGAAUAUUGCGCAAUGGAGGAAACCCUGAUGCAGCGACGCCGCGUGAGUGAAGAAGUAUUUCGGUAUGUAAAGCUCUAUCAGCAGGGAAGAUAAUGACGGUACCUGACUAAGAAGCCCCGGCUAACUACGUGCCAGCAGCCGCGGUAAUACGUAGGGGGCAAGCGUUAUCCGGAUUUACUGGGUGUAAAGGGUGCGUAGGUGGCAGGGCAAGUCAGAUGUGAAAGCCCGGGACUCAACCCCGGUACUGCAUUUGAAACUGUCCAGCUGGAGUGCAGGAGAGGUA
rnacentral:rRNA from 1 species